AGAAAUUCGCCCAGCAGGGAUACUCUGGGGGCAUCUAAAAGAAGGCUCAGAGAGAUUCACGAAUUACUACAACAGCAUCAUCAACAUUUAAGAUCAUUUUUGGAUCAAGAAACUGAGAAUCUGGCUACAGUUAAAGAAAGUUUUAAACAGAUAAUAGCCCUUCAACGACAACAGCAUGAAUUGAUAAG